UCGAGAAUUUUUCUCAAUGGGGGAAACCCUGAAGGAGCGACGCCGCGUGGAGGAUGAAGGUCUUCGGAUUGUAAACUCCUGUCAUUUGGGAACAAUGCGUGACGGUUAACUGCCGUCACGUUGAUAGUACCAGAAGAGGAAGAGACGGCUAACUCUGUGCCAGCAGCCGCGGUAAUACAGAGGUCUCAAGCGUUGUUCGGAUUCAUUGGGCGUAAAGGGUGCGUAGGCGGCGCGGUAAGUCGGGUGUGAAAUCUCGGGGCUUAACUCCGAAACUGCAUUCGAUACUGCCGUGCUUGAGGACUGGAGAGGAGACUGGAAUUUACGGUGUAGCAGUGAAAUGCGUAGAUAUCGUAAGGAAGACCAGUGGCGAAGGCGGGUCUCUAGACAGUUCCUGACGCUGAAGUACGAAGGCCAGGGGAGCAAACGGGAUUAGAUACCCCCGUAGUCC
rnacentral:rRNA from 1 species